UGGGAGAGCUAUAGAAGCAAAGCAACUGAAUGUGGUUCCCAAUUCCAAAUCCAUCCAUCAACACGAAAGAGCGGUUGUUGACUGGAGUAAGUACAACUUCAAGGGCAUAAAAUUAUCAGUCUUUGGCUAAAAUGCUCUCUGCCAGUUCAAACCAAAUUGCAUGUGGAAUGCAAACCAGAAUUGA